GACGAACGCUGGCGGCGCGCUUAACACAUGCAAGUCGAACGGAAAGGCCUGCUUUCCCUUGUGGAUUGCGGGUACUCGAGUGGCGAACGGGUGAGUAACACGUGAGUGAUCUGCCCCCAACUUGGGUAUAAGCCUGGGAAACUGGGUCUAAUUCCCGAUAGGACUGCAGGGUGGUGCCUGUGGUGGAAAACGAUUUUCUAGUGGUUGGGGAUGAGCUCGCGGCCUAUCAGCUUGUUGGUGGGGUAAUGGCCUACCAAGGCGGCGACGGGUAGCCGGCCUGAGAGUGUGGACGGCCACUUUGGGACUGAGAUACGGCCCAGACUCCUACGGGAGGCAGCAGUUGGGAAUAUUGCACAGUGGGCGGAAGCCUGAUGCAGCGACGCCGCGUGGGGGAUGACGGCCUUCGGGUUGUAAACUCCUUUCGACCGCGAGGAAGCCACCUGGUUGGAAGGGUGGUGACGGUAGUGGUAGAAGAAGCACCGGCUAACUACGUG
rnacentral:rRNA from 1 species